rnacentral:misc_RNA from 1 species
AGAUAAGCACCUUCUAAUGAAGAUUUAUGAAAGUCGAUAAAUCACACAGUAGACCAUCUUAAAAUUGUGAUGGAAACGACAAAGUAUGUAAUUAAAAACUUAAAAAUAUAAAAAUUAAAGAGAAGCCCAACCCAAUUUCUGAAACAACUAUAUGAAUCUGGCUUUGCUAUUCCUCUGCCACCAUGAUCAACAUUCUUUUCCUUAUUACUUAUCAAUUCCUUGGCCUUU